GUAUUCAUAUUAUAUUGAUAAAUUAAAAACUCUAUUUGUAGGAAGGAAAUAAGGACAUCUUGAAAAGUUCAAGAUGGCCACACAAAACUGAGGUGGCACGCGGAAUACUUAAAAGUAAAAAUCCAUCUAAGAUGGUGAGUAAUACUAUUCUAGGGACCGAAUUUUGGGAGAUUUAUAUUUAUUUUGUAAGGGUGCAAAAUGAGUCA
rnacentral:lncRNA from 1 species